GAUGAACGCUGGCGGCGUGCCUAAUACAUGCAAGUCGAGCGAACGGACGAGAAGCUUGCUUCUCUGAUGUUAGCGGCGGACGGGUGAGUAACACGUGGAUAACCUACCUAUAAGACUGGGAUAACUUCGGGAAACCGGAGCUAAUACCGGAUAAUAUUUUGAACCGCAUGGUUCAAAAGUGAAAGACGGUCUUGCUGUCACUUAUAGAUGGAUCCGCGCUGCAUUAGCCAGUUGGUAAGGUAACGGCUUACCAAGGCAACGAUGCAUAGCCGACCUGAGAGGGUGAUCGGCCACACUGGAACUGAGACACGGUCCAGACUCCGACGGGAGGCAGCAGUAGGGAAUCUUCCGCAAUGGGCGAAAGCCUGACGGAGCAACGCCGCGUGAGUGAUGAAGGUCUUCGGAUCGUAAAACUCUGUUAUUAGGGAAGAACAUAUGUGUAAGUAACUGUGCACAUCUUGACGGUACCUAAUCAGAAAGCCACGGCUAACUACGUG
rnacentral:rRNA from 1 species